rnacentral:tRNA from 1 species
GCUCUAGUGGUGCAAUUGGUUAGCACAUGGUACUUAUAUAGCAGUAUUUGGGUGAGCCAUGCUGAAGUUGUGAGUUCAAUUUUCACCUAGAGCA